CCUACGGGGGGCUGCAGUGGGGAAUAUUGGACAAUGGGGGGAACCCUGAUCCAGCCAUGCCGCGUGUGUGAAGAAGGCCCUCGGGUUGUAAAGCACUUUCAGUGAGGAAGAACGCCUGGUGGUUAAUACCCAUCAGGAAAGACAUCACUCACAGAAGAAGCACCGGCUAACUCCGUGCCAGCAGCCGCGGUAAUACGGAGGGUGCGAGCGUUAAUCGGAAUUACUGGGCGUAAAGCGCGCGUAGGUGGCUUGAUAAGCCGGUUGUGAAAGCCCCGGGCUCAACCUGGGAACGGCAUCCGGAACUGUCAAGCUAGAGUGCAGGAGAGGAAGGUAGAAUUCCCGGUGUAGCGGUGAAAUGCGUAGAGAUCGGGAGGAAUACCAGUGGCGAAGGCGGCCUUCUGGACUGACACUGACACUGAGGUGCGAAAGCGUGGGUAGCAAACGGGAUUAGAUACCCGUGUAGUC
rnacentral:rRNA from 1 species